GACCAAGAAGUCUAACAUGUGUGCGAGUCAUUGAGUAUAUUGUUGAAACUUAAGGGCGAAAUUAAAAUAACUAUUUUUAUAUGGGAUUACAAGUGAAUUAAUUUUCAUUUCUCCAUCCCGGGGCGUUCUAUACGAACAUGGUACAAGCAAUUGGAUCCUCUGUUCAAGAGCGUACCUUGAGCAUACAUGCUGUGACCCGAAAGAUGGUGAACUAUACCUGAUCAGAUCGAAGCCAGGAGAAAUUCUGGUGGAGGAUCGAAACAGUUCUGACGUGCAAAUCGAUUGUCAGAAUUGGGUAUAGGGGCGAAAGACCAAUCGAACCAUCUAGUAGCUGGUUCCCUCCGAAGUUUCCCUCAGGAUAGCUGGCGCAAAGAAUUAUAUUGUAUAUAAUCUUAUCUGGUAAAGCGAAUGAUUAGAGGCCUUGGGGCCGAAACGACCUCAACCUAUUCUCAAACUUUAAAUGGGUAAGAACCUCAUCUUUCUUGAUCUGAAGAUAUUGGGGUUUAGAUAUAUUGUGCCCAGUGGGCCACUUUUGGUAAGCAGAACUGGCGCUGUGGGAUGAACCAAACAUGAUGUUACGGCGCCUAAAUUAAUGACUCAUAUUGAUACCAUGAAAGGCGUUGGUUGCUUAAAACAGCAGGACGGUGGACAUGGAAGUCGUAAUCCGCUAAGGAGUGUGUAACAACUCACCUGCCGAAGCAACUAGCCCUUAAAAUGGAUGGCGCUCAAGUCAUAUGCCUAUACAUCAUCGCUAGAAUAAAAAUUGUUGACUAUUUAAUUGAGUGAUCAUUGUGAAAUUCUAGUGAGUAGGAGGGUACAAUGGUGUGCGCAGAAGUGUUUGGCGUGAGCCUGCAUGAAGCCGCCAUUGGCACAGAUCUUGGUGGUAGUAGCAAAUAAUCGAAUGAGAUCUUGGAGGACUGAAGUGGAGAAGGGUUUCGUGUGAACAGUGGUUGAUCACGAGUUAGUCGGUCCUAAGCUUUAUGCGAAAGCUGUUUAAUUUAUGUUACACACAAUUUAAUUAUUUUUGAUGUACAUAAUUCAAUAAAAGCGAAAGGGAAUACGGUUCCAAUUCCGUAACCUGUUGAGUAUACGUUUGUUUAUUAAAAAUGGGUCUUAUUACACUCAUCCUGGCAACAGGAACGACCAUAGAGAAGCCUUCGAGAGAUACUGGAAGAGUUUUCUUUUCUGCUAAACAAACGUAUCACCAUGGAAGUCUUUUAUAGAGAGAUAUGGUGGAUGGCUUGGAAGAGCAUGACAUUUACUGUUGUGUCAGUAUUUUCUCCUUGGACCUUGAAAAUCUAUGGUAGGGCCACGCAAACUUCUCAACAGACCGUACCGAUAUCCGCAG
rnacentral:rRNA from 1 species